rnacentral:rRNA from 1 species
CGUUAAGAUAGAAAGGGCACACGGUGGAUGCCUUGGCACAGAGAGGCGAUGAAGGACGCGAUUACCUGCGAUAAGCUACGGGAAGCUGGAAGUAAGCAUUGAUCCGUAGAUUUCCGAAUGGGGCAACCCGACAGGAGUAAUGUUCUGUCACCCGAAAGGGAGCUAACCCGGGGAAUUGAAACAUCUUAGUACCCGGAGGAAAAGAAAUCGAAUGAGAUUCCCUGAGUAGCGGCGAGCGAAACGGGAAGAGCCCAAACCGAAGUGUACGCACUUCGGGGUUGUAGGACCUCUACACGCUACGUUGAUGGAUAACAGAAUGGCAUGGGAAGGCCAAUCAUAGAAGGUGAUAAUCCUGUAAGUGAAAUCCAGAGACGGGCAUGAGGUAUCCUGAGUACCGCGAUAUAAGUGGAAUUUUGCGGGAAUCCGGGGGGACCACCCUCCAAGGCUAAAUACUCCUCUGUGACCGAUAGUGUACCAGUACCGUGAGGGAAAGGUGAAAAGAACCCUUAAGAAGGGAGUGAAAUAGAACCUGAAACCGUGUGCUUACAAACGGUGGGAGCGAAAGUGACCACGUGCCUUUUGUUUAAUGAGCCAACGAGUUGCUCGUUGCAUGCGAGGGUAAGUCUCUCGGAGACGAACCCGUAGCGAAAGCAAGUCUGAAUAGGGCGAAUAGUAUGCAGCGGCAGACGCGAAACCGUGUGAUCUAUCCAUGGUCAGGAUGAAGCGUAGGUAACACUACGUGGAGGUCCGAACUAGUUUGGGUUGAAAACCAUUUGGAUGAACUGUGGAUAGGGGUGAAAGGCCAAUCAAACUCGGUUAUAGCUCGUACUCCCCGAAAUGUAUUUAGGUACAGCCUCAAGAUAGUGUCCCGGAGGUAGGGCUCUGAUAGGGUUAGGGCCGUUACAGCGGUACCGACCCCUGACAAACCACAAAUUCCGGAAACAUGUUUCUUGGGAGUGAGGCCGUGUGAGAUAAGUUUCACGGCCGAGAGGGAAACAACCCAGAUCUACGACUAAGGUCCCAAAGUAAAUGCUAACAGAUAAAGGAUGUUAAGUUGCUGUGACAGCCAGGAUGUUGGCUUAGAAGCAGCCAUUCAUUUAAAGAGUGCGUAAUAGCUCACUGGUCGAGCGAUUUAGCGCCGACAAUUUCCGGGACUAAGCAUUUCACCGAAGUCUAGAACUCGAAAGAGUGGUAGGGGAGCAUUCUGUAUGCGGUGAAGGUGGAGCGUGAGCUUUGCUGGAGCGUACAGAAGCGCAAAUGUUGGCAUAAGUAACGAUAAUUAGGAUGAGAAUUCCUAACGCCGAAAGUCUAAGGUUUCCUUGAGCUCUGUUCGUCAACUCAGGGUUAGUCGGCUCCUAAGGCGAGGCCGAGAGGCGUAGUCGAUGGUAAUCAGGUAAAUUAUCAAUAUUCCUGAACCACCAAUUCAAUAAAAGUGACGCAGUUGAAAGGUUUUGCCGGAUUAAUGGUUAUUCCGGUAAGGUUCUAGGCUGCCGAGAAAAGCGAGAAUUGGUGACCGUACCGCAAACCGACACAGGUAGAUGGGUUGAGUAUACUAAGGCGCUCGAGUGAGUCGCGGUUAAGGAACUCGGCAAAUUGACCCCGUAACUUCGGGAGAAGGGGUGCCUCAGCAAUGAGGCCGCAGAGAAAUGGCCCAGGCGACUGUUUAACAAAAACACAGCACAAUGCUAACUCGUAAAGAGGAUGUAUAUUGUGUGACACCUGCCCGGUGCCGGAAGGUUAAAAGGAGGAGUUAGCGCAAGCGAAGCCCUGAAUUGAAGCCCCGGUAAACGGCGGCCGUAACUAUAACGGUCCUAAGGUAGCGAAAUUCCUUGUCGGGUAAGUUCCGACCUGCACGAAUGGUGUAACGAUCUGGGCACUGUCUCGACCGCGAGCUCGGUGAACUUGUGGUACCGGUGAAGACGCCGGUUACCCGCACUGGGACGGAAAGACCCCAUGCACCUUUACUAUAACCUAAUAUUGGGUUUGGUUAUAACAUGCGUAGGAUAGGUGGGAGGCUUUGAAGCAGAGCUUGUGGGCUUUGUGGAGCCAUCGGUGAAAUACCACCCUUGUUGUAGCUGUAUUCUAACCCGGCGGAGUGGAUCCGCGGGGACAGUGUUAGGCGGGUAGUUUGACUGGGGCGGUCGCCUCCUAAAUUGUAACGGAGGCUUACAAAGGUCACCUCAGCACGGUUGGUAAUCGUGCGUAGAGUAUAAAGGCAUAAGGUGGCUUAACUGUGAGACUUACAAGUCGAGCAGAUGCGAAAGCAGGUCUUAGUGAUCCGGCGGUUCCGAGUGGAAGGGCCGUCGCUCAAAGGAUAAAAGGUACGCUGGGGAUAACAGGCUGAUCUUGCCCAAGAGUUCACAUCGACGGCAAGGUUUGGCACCUCGAUGUCGGCUCAUCGCAUCCUGGGGCUGGAGAAGGUCCCAAGGGUUUGGCUGUUCGCCAAUUAAAGCGGUACGUGAGCUGGGUUCAGAACGUCGUGAGACAGUUCGGUCCCUAUCCAGUGUGGGCGUAAGAUACUUGAGGGGAUCCGCUCUUAGUACGAGAGGACCGGAGUGAACGGACCGACGGUGUAUCUGUUGUCAUACCAAUGGCAUUGCAGAGUAGCCAUGUCCGUAAAGGAUAAGUUCUGAAAGCAUCUCAAGAACGAAACCUACCCCAAGAUUAGGUAUCUCUAAGGAUCCAAGUAGACUACUUGGUUGAUAGGCUUCAGGUGUAAGUGUAGCAAUACAUUCAGCCGAGAAGUACUAAUAAUCCAUGGGCUUUCCGAA